GUCUUUUUGAUUUUUUUUUAAAGUCUAGCCUGCCCACUGAAUUUUUAAAUGGCCGCAGUAUACUAACUGUGCAAAGGUAGCAUAAUCAUUAGUCUUUUAAUUGAAGGCUGGUAUGAAUGGUUGGACGAGAUAUUAACUGUUUCAUAAAAAUUUAAAUUAGAAUUUUAUUUUUUAGUUAAAAAGCUAAAAUAAAUUUAAAAGACGAGAAGACCCUAUAAAUCUUUAUAUUUUUAAUUAUUAUUAUUUUGAGGAUUUUUUUUGUAAUAAUAAUUUAUAAUAUUUUAUUGGGGUGAUAUUAAAAUUUAAUAAACUUUUAAUUAUUGUAUUCAUUAAUUUAUGAACUAUUGAUCCAUUAUUAUUGAUUAAAAAUUUAAGUUACUUUAGGGAUAACAGCGUAAUUUUUUUGGAGAGUUCUUAUCGAUAAAAAAGAUUGCGACCUCGAUGUUGGAUUAAGAGAUAAUUUUAGGUGUAGCCGCUUAAAAUUUAAGUCUGUUCGACUUUUAGAUUCUUACGUG
rnacentral:rRNA from 1 species